GACGAAGGGGGCUAGCGUUGUUCGGAAUUACUGGGCGUAAAGCGCACGUAGGCGGUUUUUAAGUCAGAGGUGAAAGCCCGGAGCUCAACUCCGGAAUUGCCUUUGAGACUGGGAGACUUGAAUCCAGGAGAGGUGAGUGGAAUUCCGAGUGUAGAGGUGAAAUUCGUAGAUAUUCGGAAGAACACCAGUGGCGAAGGCGGCUCACUGGACUGGUAUUGACGCUGAGGUGGCGAAAGCGUGGGGAGCAAACAGG
rnacentral:rRNA from 1 species